CCUACGGGUGGCUGCAGUCGAGAAUCUUCCGCAAUGGGCGAAAGCCUGACGGAGCGACGCCGCGUGGUUGAUGAAGUGCUUCGGCACGUAAAAACCUUUUAUAGGGGAGAAAAUUCGUUGAUAGUACCCUAUGAAUAAGGAGCUCCAAACUCUGUGCCAGCAGGAGCGGUAAUACAGAGGCUCCAAGCGUUAUCCGGAAGCACUGGGCGUAAAGGGUGUGUAGGUGGUUUAGUUAGUCUUUCGUUAAAGCGCCCGGCCCAACUGGGAAAGAGCGAGAGAAACGGCUAGACUAGAGGAUGCGAGAGGUGCGUGGAACUCAUGGAGUAGGGGUGAAAUCCGUUGAUACCAUGGGGAACACCAAAAGCGAAUGCAGCGCACUGGCGCACUCCUGACACUGAAACACGAAAGCGUAGGUAGCGAAUGGGAUUAGAUACCCUGUAGUC
rnacentral:rRNA from 1 species